rnacentral:misc_RNA from 1 species
UGUGCGCGCAUGCUUGCGUGCUUGCGCUUCCCUGUGCACGAGUUGCGCAGAAGAAGAGAGGGCGACUGCAAGCGCAUCCACGCACUAUGCAUAUGACUGCCACCGAGCCAGCAAGUUGAAACCACAGAGGAGAACAAGACCAGGCCUGUGCACAGCUCAUCACUGCACCCUGGGAAGCGCCGCGGGUGCUUGUACUGCCUGUGAGCGGAGUUGCCUUUUCACCGACAGACACGUCAAAUUCGAGCGGACUGAUGGACCGUCAGCGCUGUGUUUCCCCUUCAGCAAGCGCCAACUCGCAUGAGACGAUGCUGUCGCAGCAACCGGACGGGCAGAGGCCCUCGUCAUCUUCGUGCCCGCCACCACCAAGACAGCCGACGACGCAGCGGCUGUGCGCGCUUGCCGCUGGUGUGCUUGUCUUCCAUGUCCUCACCUCCGCCCUGCAGGAGACGAUCUUUCACUUGCCCGGCUUCACGAAUUUGUUACUCCUCUCGUGCGGGGAGACAUUCUGCACGACAGUGCUCGUGGGGCUGCUCCUUGUGUGGGGCUGGUACCACCAGCUGCCUCGGCGAGCCGCGUCUGAGCAUCAAGGCCCGCAUGGCCGGUCGGCCGCGACGGCAGUGGGGGCAGGGACGGCGGAGGCGUCGCCUCAUGGGCCGCUCUCGAAUCCAGCUCAUGGGGUGGGCGGCAGCAGCAACAAGCAGGGGUGGUGCCUUGGCGAUGCAGUGGGCCAUUCACCAGGUGCCGUCUGCGCCGCUGGACACCUACCUCACGGGCAAGAGCGCUCACGCCCGCACGGCGACGGCCGAGGGGCGCCCACGAGCGUGGCGGAAGCCGUACCCGUCGCGGUAGCUGCAGACCGUGGCAAGGGGUCUGCGCUCACUCUAGGCGCGGCGCACGACUCCCCAUCCACGAGCGGUGCCUCAUGGCGCUCGACGAUCCGCCGCGUGUUCCAUCCGUCCACCGUUGCUACUCGCUGGUACGUGCGCAUUGCCGUGCUCCUGUCGUGUAGCCUGUACCUCACGAACCGCACGUCCUUCUUCCUCAGCUACUCCCUGCAAGUAAUCUUCAAGUCGAGCAAGCUGCUCUGCAUGGUCGUGGUGCACCGCUGGUGGAUGCGCGACAGCCCCGAGGCAGCUGCCCCAGGCUCGGAGAACGAGACAGACUCUGACGACGAUGCGGACAGCGUUACCCAUCGGUGGAGCGCCGUCGCUGCGCCAGAUCGACGCGACGGCGCAUCCAGUGAGGGCGGGGACUCUGAGCUGUUAGCGGACGACAAGGCCCCCGGCACGGGCGAGCGCCACCUGCGCGAUGAGUCGCAGCGGCGUGGACACGGCUGCUCCUCUUCGUCGCCAUCGACAGACUUUUCGACUGUCGUCGUCGAUGUGUCGCCCCCAGCGGGGCGGACCCUCGCAUCUUCGCACCCGCUUGAGGAUGACCAGCGGCGAUCGUGGUGGGGCGCGAGCCGCACCUGCAGCAGCAGCAGCAGCGGCUCGCGCGGGCGUUCGUGGUGGUGGCCGCGCUUCUGGUGCCAGCAUGGCAUCGAUGGCUUGUCGCGAUGGUGCACCUCGAGAGAAUGGUCGUGCGCCUGCGCGUGUGCCUCCUCUCUUGCGCACCGUUGCGCUUUCCGAUCGGCCAGAUCGCCCAGCGAUAAACGGGGCCACGUCUCGGCUGCCACAGGCUUGCGCCAGCCCGUGCCGCACAACGGCAGUAUUGAUGGUGGCCUUUCUGCGUUCGAGAUGUUACGCGCCGCGGGCGCAUGGCUUGUGUAUCAGCUGCGACGCCUCCUGCGUGACACGGAGAUCAUGGCGUGCGCCGUCAUCGUUGCUGGGCUGAUUUCGUUCACCUACGCCUUUCAACUGGAUAUGCAAGCCUCUGCAGAGACCAGCGACUCCAAAGACCGCCUAGCCGCGCUGGCUAAGGCGGCGUCGGCGGAGGUGGCGGCAGAGCGACACAUUCUCGCCGACAGGCCGCGAGGGCCCGCGUCCGCCUCUCUCACAGGCCGAUAUGUUGUUGCUGCCGACGCAGCUGCGGCAGCCAACCUCAGGGACAGCCGGAGCAUCGCCACUGGGCUGGCGCAGGCGGGCGCGGCACUGCCGCUGCCGCUGUCGUCUCCCUUCGCUUCUUCGCCUCUUUCCCCGCUGCAGUCGGUGGCCGCAGAGGUUUCCCGCCUCUCGACUCUUUGGAUAGUGACACUGAUCGGCGUGGCAGGGGUUCUGGCGUCGAACGCCCUCGACUGCAUCAUCUAUGUGCUGGAGGAGGUUCAUUGCUUUCACGCAACGGCAGGGCCGCCACGCAGGUCGAAUCGAGGAGCACACAGGCACGAGCGCGCAGCAGGGGAGACGGCGCGCCCGCUGGCGGACGUGCAACGUGGGGCAGUGCUGCUGCCGCACCACACAUCCCAUCGACAACAUUCCUUGUCGCCUUGCCCGCCGAUGUUGUCGUCUCGCACACAAGCCGCAGUGGCGGCAUCAUCGACGCGGCCCACGGUGCCCGCAGCUUCGGCGACGGAGCCGCCGGUGCGGAUACCGGCUUCGCCACAGGAGUUACUCUUCAUGGUAAACGGCAUCGCCACGUUUCUCUACGCCGGUGGCCUCAGCGCCUCGUGGCUGUGCAGCCGUUUUCUGUUGCUUCUAUGGAGCUUUAUGGGCUCCAAUGCGAUGUCCACCGCGGUCGAGGCCGAUGGCGGCGUUGUCGGCGCUCUGACCGCCGCGGAGGCUCGCCAGCUGGCCGCAUGCGAGCGUCCCUUGGCCGCAUCACGGCGCACUGAUAAUGCCGCUCUGCCCGUAGAGUGCACCGCAUUGAUGGCUCGCCGACCGCAGCUGCAGCGGCUCGCAGCCCUUUCCACAGGGCCGCCAUGGGGGGCGUCGUCCGCACCGCCGCCGCCGCCGCCGCCGUCGACGGAACCUUUUUCCCUCUCCCUAUUCUUCUUGCUCAUCGCGUUGGCGUCCGUGACGAGCGUGAUGGGCACGCUGUGUCUGCUGCGCAUUCUUGCUGAGUUCACCGGCGUGAUGGCCGUCAUUGUGACAAGCGUGCGCAAGGCGCUGACGAUCUUGCUGAGCUUUCUCCUGUACGGUCGCCGCUUCACCCUGCUGCACGGAGUCGGGAUGGUGGGGGUGAUGGGUGGUGUUGUCUGGUACGAGUUGCAGCGGCGUCGGCGAUGCGGCGUGUAAAUGGGGUGAGGGCAGCGUGCACGACCGCGCAGGGAGGCGACGAGCACAAGAUGCAAGGAGAAUGUCUGUAGAUGUGUGUGCCUGUGUCUGUGUGUGUGUGUGUGUGUGUCUGUGGAGGAGCGGGAGGGGUGCGCCCAUUCGUCUGCGCACGCGUGCGUGCUGGCGUGAUGCUUCCUGCACUCCCUCUCCCUCCCCUCUGAACCCUCCCUCCCUCAGGUGCUCCGGCCCCUUCUGGCGGGUCUCCGCAUGUCGCUCUCGCUCUCGCUCUCGCAGCGUGUGCGAGCCCAACUCGUUGCCCGCUCGCACCCUCUACACAACGUUCGCCCCUCCCCCUUGCCCCCUCUCCGUGAUUGAGAUCGGCGCGCUCGCUACAUUGCCCGUAGACCACCGAACCACCACCACCACUCUCUCUCCUUAUUCCAUGGCGGGUGAGGGACAUCAUCGAGGCUGCACACCAUGGGCGCGUAGGUUUGCUGUUGCGCUCACCUCUCCUGUCAGUCGUGUGAAAGGGAAACUAAUAUAUAUAUCUGCGUAGACGUCCGACGCGGUGCGCCGGGCGCCUGGUUUAUCCAUCUCACGCUCUCGCAGUGCACCGGCGAGGGCACGCUUGUGCGUGUGUGUGCGUCAGCCUGGAUGGUCGUGCGCUGAGAUCCUUCUCGCUCUCUCUCUCUGUCUUUUUCUUUGUUAAUGCCCAUCGCUAUGUGUUGGCGUCCGCGUGUGCGCUUCUCUGCACGGCCGCCGUGCAG